UGCAUCUGAGGCCAGUGAGGAUGAGAACCUCCGGGGGCAGGAGGUUCGACUCGAGCGAAGCGAGAGAACGUUGCGUCAGCAACGGCCCGCAGGGCGAGCCACG
rnacentral:sRNA from 1 species